rnacentral:rRNA from 1 species
UACGUAGGGGGCAAGCGUUGUUCGGAAUUACUGGGCGUAAAGGGCUCGUAGGCGGCCAACUAAGUCCGACGUGAAAUCCCAAAGCUUAACUUUGGAACUGCGUCGGAUACUGGAUGGCUUGAAUUCGGGAGAGGGAUGCAGAAUUCCAGGUGUAGCGGUGAAAUGCGUAGAUAUCUGGAGGAAUACCGGUGGCGAAGGCGGCAUCCUGGACCGACAUUGACGCUGAGGAGCGAAAGCUAGGGGAGCAAACGGG